CCUGCCCCUGGAAGCAUUGCAGGUGUGGCUACUGUGUUACAAGAGCAUUAGUAGGUGGAAGAGGAAAGAGGGCUAUGUCUAGCCUUUGUGUUCUGACCUAUGAGCAUCUGAAUUAAUAGCUUAACAUU